AUUGCACGCUGGCGGCAGGCUUAACACAUGCAAGUCGAGCGAGCGGCGGACGGGUGAGUAAUGUAGGGGAAACUGCCUGAUGGAGGGGGAGAACUACUGGAAACGGUAGCUAAUACCGCAUACCAUCAGAUGUGCCCAGAUGGGAUUAGCUAGUAUGUGGGGUAAUGGCUCACCUAGGCGACGAUCAAUCGCUGGUCUGAGAGUAUGACCAGCCAAACUGGAACUGGGACACGGUCCCGACUCCUACGGGAGGCAGCAGUGGGGAAUAUUGCACAAUGGGCGCAAGCCUGAUGCAGCCAUGCCGCGUUUGUGAAGAAGGCCUUCGGGUUGUAAAGCACUUUCAGCGAGGAGGCGUUACUCGCAGAAGAAGCACCGGCUAACUCCGUGCCAGCAGCCGCGGUAAUUC
rnacentral:rRNA from 1 species